ACACGUAAACAACCUGCCUUCAGGAUGGGGACAACAGACGGAAACGACUGCUAAUACCGAAUAAGUUCCAAGAGCCGCAUGGCCCAUGGAAGAAAAGGUGGCCUCUACCUGUAAGCUAUCGCCUGAAGAGGGGUUUGCGUCUGAUUAGCUGGUUGGAGGGGGUAACGGGCCCACCAAGGCGACGAUCAGUAGCCGGUCUGAGAGGAUGAACGGCCACACUGGAACUGAGACACGGUCCAGACUCCUACGGGAGGCAGCAUG
rnacentral:rRNA from 1 species